UUUAAAGUCUGACCUGCCCACUGAGUAUUUAAAUGGCCGCGGUAUUUUGACCGUGCAAAGGUAGCAUAAUAAUUAGUUUUUUAAUUGAAAGCUGGAAUGAAUGGUUGGACGAGAAAACGACUGUCUUAAUGUAAUUGUAUUAGAAUUUUAUUUUUAAGUAAAAAAGCUUAAUUGUUUUUAAAAGACGAGAAGACCCUAUAGAGUUUUAUAUUUUUUGGUAUUGAUAUUUUAUGGGAGAUUUAAUUUUUAAUAUUAUGGAAUAUUUUGUUGGGGUGACAGGAAAAUUUAUUAAACUUUUUUUAUUUUUAUAUUAUUGAUUUGUAUGUAAUUGAUCCAUUAGUUAUGAUUAUAAGAUUAAAUUACCUUAGGGAUAACAGCGUAAUUAUUUUUAAGAGUUCUUAUCGAAAAAAUAGUUUGCGACCUCGAUGUUGGAUUAAAAUUAACUUUUGGUGUAGGAGCUAAUUAGUUAGGUCUGUUCGACCUUUAAAAUUUUACAUGAUCUGAGUUUAAACCGGUGUGAGCCAGGUUGGUUUCUAUCUUUAAAUUAUUUGGAUAUUUUAGUACGAAAGGACCAGAUAUUGAUAAUAUUUAUUGAUUAUUUGAAUUUUAAUAAUUUAUA
rnacentral:rRNA from 1 species